CUUUUUGGAAGAGUAUUUCUAUUUUAAGUUAUUCCUCAGACUCGAAAGGAAACACAGGCCAACUUUCCAGUGAUGAAUACUUCAGAAUGAAACUGCAGUGGAAAUCCAUCAGCCAGGAACAAGAGAAAAGAAAUUCGAGGUUAAGAGAUUAUAGAAGUCUUAUCGAAAAAGAUGUUAACAGAACAGAUCGAACAAACAAGUUUUAUGAAGGCCAAGAUAAUCCAGGGUUGAUUUUGCUUCAUGACAUUUUGAUGACCUACUGUAUGUAUGAUUUUGAUUUAGAAAUUUGUUGUAAGAACUGAUGCCGGGGCUGGGUGCGGAGGCUCACGCCUGUAAUCCCAGCACUUCAGGAAGUCAAGGCAGGUGGAUCACCUGAGGACAGGAGUUCAAGACCAGCCUGGCCAACAUGGAUAUGUUCAGGGAAUGAGUGAUUUACUUUCCCCUCUUUUAUAUGUGAUGGAAAAUGAAGUGGAUGCCUUUUGGUGCUUUGCCUCUUACAUGGACCAAAUGCAUCAGAAUUUUGAAGAACAAAUGCAAGGCAUGAAGACCCAGCUAAUUCAGCUGAGUACCUUACUUCGAUUGUUAGACAGUGGAUUUUGCAGUUACUUAGAAUCUCAGGACUCUGGAUACCUUUAUUUUUGCUUCAGAUGGCUUUUA
rnacentral:sRNA from 1 species